CUCCCCUCCCCCAGCCUGAAACCUGCUUGCUCAGGGGUGGAGCUUGCCGCUCAAUUGUUCUGCCACACCCACUGCUGGAGCCUGCCACUUUCCUGUUCCGAAGCCAUCACAUGGUCACCCUGCUACUGGACUCCAAGAUUAUUUGGCGGGAAUCGGGCCCCCUUCCCCUGUUUCAUAACUGUGUGCAGAAUAGUAAAAUUGAGCUUUGAUCAGAAUGACUGUCUUAGCUGCAUCUUUUUCUCGCCCACCUAGCCCUUCUUCUCUUCCAGGUUUCCAAAAUGCCUUUCCAGGCUAGAACCCAGGCCUAUGAUCUGCUGGCCGGACACAACACCAGCUCAGACAUUCUUCAUAUGUGGAACAUUUAAAAUUUCUCUGACAGCUAUUUUGAAAUAUUCAGGGCACUGCACAACCAAACCUGAGCUGAACUUCAAGUUAGAGCAUGGAUUUGGGCCUUAGAGUAAAGCAGAAGCCUCCUUCUGGAACUUU
rnacentral:lncRNA from 1 species